CGGAACCCCCGCCACUGCCGCCGCAGUCUGACAGAAGAGCGAGCGAGGUUGUUUACUAGGGUCAGAUGAAGACACUGAAAAACGUAUAAAGCUAAGAGCAACAAAUGGCAGCCUGUUUACUGGCCGGAGAAAUGCUGCCAAACUGGCGUGGGAGACAAUUGUUAAUGAUGCUGGAUGGAAAGGUGACGGAUGCCCUGGCUUCCAAAAAAUUGGGAAAUUUAAAGAAAAAAUAUAAGGAGCUCCGGAACCCACCAACUGGCACUGGAACAGACCAGGGGGAACCCAGUGCCUGCACGUGGAAGUGGUUUAGUUUAAUGCAUUCCACUAUUGGAGCAAGGGCCAGCAUUACUCCCCCUGUUUUCAUUUCAUCUGCUUUGGCAACCCCACCAAAUUAAUCUAACCAGCCAGUGCCAUCCUCUUACAUACCAGAUCCACCUUCACCUGUGGCCCCAGAAUCCCCAACCCACACAUAGCCAUCAACAGCAGCCAUCAUUACUAGUAGCCAACCCCACCCACAGCCAUCAUCAUCAUCAGCCUCUGUCACAUCAGCCACCGCUCUCUCGCCUGCCUCCCCGUCUGCUUCCUCUGGCAACAGCCCCAAAACCCCCACACCAAAAAGACGAAGGAAAGACCCUUUCAGCAUCUGCCAUCUCAGACUGACCGCCUCCUAGACAUACUGGAGAGGCUGGCUGACCGUUCUAAGCACUAGCAAUGCAAUACUAAAAAAGUAACAAGAAUUGUUCCCGUUAUACAGUAUCUGCAUAAUAUUUCGUUUUUAUUCAUUGAUUUGUUGCCAUAUUUUCAUUAAAGGAGAUUUAAGAUGUGUUCUUAAGAUGUGCAAGAAUUACAGUUCUUAUUGACAAGAGAAAAAAGUAAUUAAGUGCAUUAUUUCAGUUUAAUAUGGCACAUUUACAUUGUGACUUUACAUACUUUGCAUGUUUUCUUGACUAAGCAAAAAAAUAAAUGACAAGAAAUAGUUUGAAUUCAUUUCACUGUUUACACUGCAAAGUUCUUCAAUAAAAA